rnacentral:rRNA from 1 species
UGGGGAAUAUUGCACAAUGGGCGAAAGCCUGAUGCAGCGACGCCGCGUGAGGGAUGACGGCCUUCGGGUUGUAAACCUCUUUCAGCAGGGACGAAGCGCAAGUGACGGUACCUGCAGAAGAAGCACCGGCUAACUACGUGCCAGCAGCCGCGGUAAUACGUAGGGUGCAAGAGUUUUCCGGAAUUACUGGGCGUAAAGAGUUCGUAGGCGGUUUGUCGCGUCGUUUGUGAAAACCAGCAGCUCAACUGCUGGCUUGCAGGCGAUGCGGGCAGACUUGAGUACUGCAGGGGAGACUGGAAUUCCUGGUGUAGCGGUGAAAUGCGCAGAUAUCAGGAGGAACACCGGUGGCGAAGGCGGGUCUCUGGGCAGUAACUGACGCUGAGGAACGAAAGCGUGGGUAGCGAACAGG